UUCUACCCAUUGUCCCAGACGCCAACCCAAGAAGAAUACAAGAGAAAGAAGACAUUUUCUUGAAUAGCUCUGGUGUGGCUAGUGCUUCAAAACACAUUUUCUUAUUGGGCCAGGCGUGGUGGCUCAUGCCUGUAAUCCCAACACCUUGGGAGGCUGAGGCAGAGGGAUCACUUGAGCCCAGGAGUUGAAGACCAGCCUGGGCAACAUAGCGAGACCCCACCUCUAGAAAAAAACAACACACACACACACACUCAAAGCAAAAGCUUCUUUUUUUUAAAGAUAUAGAACCACAGUGAUUAGCCCCAAGAAUCUACAUUUCUGUACAGUACUCU
rnacentral:lncRNA from 1 species